GCUUUUUUGGAAAGUGGCAGCGUCUGGUUGGCAUCAGCAGGUGACUUAUCUGACAUCUUGGGCCCCUGAGCAGCUGUUCCUGAUGACUGCUCUGCCAGUGUCUCACUAUGUAGCCCAGGGUGGGCUUGAAGUAGUGAUUCUCCUGCCUCAACCGGCCAAGUGCUGGCACUACCAGCUUGCCCCAACAUACCCAGCUCUAGAGCUUUUGAAUACUCAAAGAGGAACACUCAGCUAUUUGCACUCCUGUUUUGUUAUUAACAGGAGUAGGAAAAAGAUAUAUUAUUGUAAAAAAAAAGAGAACACGCUCAUAUUUGCUUCUAUUAAUGUUCUGAAACUAGCAAAAAAACAUAAGCUGUGUUACUCAGACAAAGUCAGUGGAAAAAAACAAAGCUAAGGUGAGUAUGUAUCUAGUAACACCCAUUUCAUGAGAUCUGAGAGUCUCAACUAUAGGCAGUGUUUCCAUCCCCAAGUAAACUAUAGGAGAUCUCACUGUUGGCACACAGGCGAGGUAAGUCGGUUCUAUCACAGCCUGUGCCUAUGACAAGUCUUAAAUAACUUAUUCUCAAACAAUCCCCACUUCCACUUCCUGGCACUGACAUGUUAAUGUAUGGCCUUGCCCUACAGUUUAUUAUUUCAUCACCCUGGCAAAUACAUACUAAAGGAAAGCCAAUCCAGGAAAGUUCUCUGAUUUCUAUACUUCUUGGAAGCAGGCCACUGUGAGUUAUAAUCACCUCGCACUGGAAUGGCUCCCUACUGAUUCUCUUUAAAACAGUAUGUCCAAAUGUCUCAAAUCCUCAAAGCCCUAAAUCACCUGCAUAAAGGUUAUCUACUUCUCCAAACACAAAUUCCUGAGUAACACAUUUGAGCAGCUUUCUGGGUAAACUGAUAUAGUUGUAUCUUCUUCAAAGAAAAAAGCAUACUUUGCAAGGAAGGAGACCCCAAGAGGUAAGUAGGGUAAGGCAUGGCUAAAAGGCUGCAUCACUGACUAGAACAAUCCAAAGGCUCCACAAUUUAGUAAACUUGGAGUCAGAAAAUCUGGCUUUUGAUCCAGUGUAUCUGUGACCACUCAACUCACCAAUCUUGAUUUUCAGUUUCCUUAUAUAUACCAUGGGAAGAAAACCAACCUUCUGUGGGAAGAUGAAAUAAUGCAAAUGGAAGUAAAGUACUUGACACAAAUAAGUUUCUGUUCUCUAUAAUCUAGGAUUCUAAACCUUUGUCAUUUAUUUCCAGAAAUGGAACACGAACCACACCUCCAAAAUGAAGCAAGUGGCAUCAGACCCUGAGAAUUCUGGCAGAAAACAAGGAGCACUCUGAAUGGACUCUGGAACCAACCUGCUGGUCGCUUGGUCAGAUUGAGACAGUCUGCAUGUGAACUUGAUCAAUAGAAGGACUUUUGAGAGUAAGGACAUUGUCAUCUUCAAGCCUCUAAACCCUGGAAGGAGAUGACAAGAAACAAUACCCCAGCCUCUCUGUAAAGUGCGGAAAAUUUCAACCUCUGGAUACUGGCGCUUGCUGAAGCACUGGUUCUGACAGCGUCCUCCAGCAGGACACACUGUAGGGUGGCACU